UACGUAGGGGGCAAGCGUUGUCCGGAAUCAUUGGGCGUAAAGCGCGUGUAGGCGGCUCGGUAAGUCCGCUCUGAAAGCCCGGGGCUCAACCCCGGGAGGCGGGUGGAUACUGCUGAGCUCGAGUCCGGAAGAGGAGUGUGGAAUUCCUGGUGUAGCGGUGAAAUGCGCAGAUAUCAGGAGGAACAGCCAAAUCGGCGAAAGGCAGGCAAGC
rnacentral:rRNA from 1 species